UACAGAGGUGGCAAGCGUUGUUCGGAAUUACUGGGCGUAAAGGGCGCGUAGGCGGCCAUCUAAGUCAGACGUGAAAUCCCCCGGCUUAACCUGGGAACUGCGUCUGAUACUGGAAGGCUUGAGUAUGGGAGAGGGAUGUAGAAUUCCAGGUGUAGCGGUGAAAUGCGUAGAUAUUGGGAGGAACACCAGUGGCGAAGGCGGCUCACUGGACCGGUACUGACGCUGAGGCGCGAAAGCGUGGGGAGCAAACAGG
rnacentral:rRNA from 1 species